GGCGUCUGAUACCUCCCCUCCCGGAGGCGGGGUUGAUAGCCUCUUCCCCUCCCCGUGUUGCACAAGCGAGAAGGCGCUGUCACCUUGAAUUGCUACAUCCGGCUUGGGUGCUAGCCAUAAUGAUGACAAGUUCCUUGUUCUUGCUGCUACAAACACCACAUUACUAUUGGAUCAGGUCAAUCUCGGCGGUACCUGGUCACGGCCUAAGCAAGACCAAUUUGAAGAGCUUGGCUGCAGAGGAACUGAUAGUUGGGUCCUCAUAUCCAUCUGAUCAUGUUGUUCAACAAUCCUGAGAGAUUUCGUGGUUACCUGGUUAUUGGAGGAGGCAAGGCGGCAGGAGCCGGGACAGGUGACAGUGCCAAUCGCCCUCUUCAGUCGGAGCGGCCGAGAAUGUAUCAAGUCGCCAUGGCUGUAGCUUCAGCAGUGGUCGCUUGAAAGGAUCAAGCGGGAGUCUAAAGGUCACGGCUCAAGCGGGGUCUAAGGCGCCUAUAUAUGCUGAUAGCUAGGACGGUAAUGGUGGAAGUAAUUUUCGAUGGAAGUAAUGGUGGUUGAUGGUUACAAUAAAGGUAGGGGCUGGCUAAUUGAUUCUAGAACCGGGUAACGCGAGCGUUAAUUGGGCGAUGGUUGAAACUGAGCGAUGUAUAAGACCUCAAGGCAAGAUGAGUCUACAACAUAAUAAAUGAUACAAUGUAUGAGUAUGACACCA